CGUCAGGCCAGUAACUAGUAUCCCGAAGCCGCUCAGGACAGUCCUCGCAGAACGCUGCCAGGCUGUUGUGUUCCUACGGAGGCGCUGAGCCUUCCAGCUGUUCCGGAUUAGCAUCUAGCUCCAAGCAUUUCGUUCCGGCAGCCCGGUUCCUUCAGCCUCUGGCGCCACGGUGCCUCUCACUUCAUCGGGCUGCUGGCCUAUGUGAGGGCAAGAUCCCUCUUCCCUUAGAUUGGCCAAGGCGAAGUGGAAUAUGAAAAGAACUUUGCCAAGGAACAAAGCGAGGGUCAAAUGCUACAUUGCAGGGCAGACUCGAAGCAUGGAAAUGGCAGGGCCUGUUCACAGGCUUGGCCUCGAGGUUGCACAUGGGAGCCUCACUACCUUCCCUUAACCUCAACCCCAGGUCUGGGCUUUGAUUUUGGCGGGCUUUCUUGUCCGUAAGGAAGGGAUUUGCUCUUUCCUAGACCCCUCGGGAGUGCCAACCUGAGCCUGGGAAGCUCGGACUCUUCAUUGGAUAUGGCUUAUGCCAAUAAUCUGUGCUUGACCAAUAGCUGAGAAGUGUGGGUGUUGCUGAGGUGCUAAGAAGAGCUACAAGGGGAGUGGGGGUUUUAUGGAACAGAGAAGGAGUCUUGGCCCUGGCUCUUGGUGAGUCAGGAUGGCCUUCAAUACAACUAGUCUCUGAAGCCUCAGAACAAAAGGCGAAGAAACUUCAGUGAAAGCAUAAAACAUAGCCUCAUGUUAGCCAAUGCAGAAAGGAAGGUCCAAGAGCCUGGAGCUUCAAAAACCACCAUGGCCCGGGGAUUUAGCUCAGUGGUUUCGCCGCCUGCUGCUCAAGAGCAAGGACCUGAGUUUGAUCUUCGGUACCAAAAGUAGAAUAAAAUAAAAACCACCCUUAUCCCUAUCCCCUUGGAACUUAGCCCUCACCAGGGAAGGCCCGGAGGCCAGGCCCCAGGCCGGCUAACACACUGAGCAGGGGGUCAGAGGAGGGGCUAACACGCUGAGCAGGGGGUCAGAGGAGGGGCUGAGGAGACGCAGGGCGCUGCAGCAGCCACACGGGGUUAUCGGGAUGGGUGUGUUGAGGGAUAGGAGCCAGAAGCUGUGGCAGUGAGGCCAAGUUGGGGUGUACGAGUUAGACGAGGGGUGAUAAGAUAACAAGGCAAACUCAGAAGGGCACCCAGGCCUGAUGCAGGCCUGGACGAUCAGAUUCAGGGUUUAUCUUGAAGCCUUGGUAGUCCCAACCUUUCCCUGACUUUCUCUUCAUUAGGCCCCUGGCCUUAUCCUCUCAGAACCUGGGAGCCUAGACCGAGGCCUUUUUCAAGAUAGAGAGGGUUGUCAACAGGCAGGAGCCUCAGCUAGCCCUGAUGGCUCAGCUCUGGAGGGGACAAUGGUAGGACAGGUGGCUACAGAGGCAUAAAGGCCACGGUGUUUCUGGACCAGCCCCAGUGUCACCAGCUUUGGACUGGAAGUGGCUUAGGGGAGUGCUAGAGAGUGCUAGUGCUAGAGACCCCUUCCAGUAAGGACUCAGGCCCAUCGUCAUUUUAUCCCUCCCCUUGUGGCUUCCUGAGUGGGGGCGCGGUCACAUCUUGGGCAGCAGCCCACAGCUUCCAUAGCUUAGUAGGUCCAAGUCCACCUCAGGCCAGAAGGAGCUCAUUCUUUUGCCGUGAGCAAAGAGGGCCGCUGUCAUUUCCUUGUUCCAUGAUGAGGAUUCAGCUCACUCAAGACUUCUGAUGGCCUCAUGACAGCUUCUGGCUGUCAGAGCUCACAGACCAUCUGCUUGGAUUGCCCUGCGGCCCUCCUGUAGGGCACAGAUGCUGGCAAUAAUGUGUCCCAUUUGGCAGGCGAUAUGACAUUGCUUCUUGUAUCAUGUCAGGUGACUCAAAUAACGAUCAUGCCUGUUGACACUUGGAGCUCUCAGAGGGAAUUCUGAACAGCAAAGGAAAGAUGAAAUGAAACUCAAGGGUGCUUGUUCCAAACACUGCAGCAGCCCGCAUAACCAGCAAUGAAGCCAUUGCUAAAGUCAACAAUGAAAGAACUCUGAAGAAACACAGAUUCUGAAAGGAAGAGAGAAAAAGGCAGACUAGCUAGAGAGCUUGGGGCCUGAGGAACACACAACAUGUAGCUGUCAUGAGGUGAACAGGUUUCAUCCACUAUGUGCCAUGAUGUACUGUCUUUCCACCAACUCAGAAGCAACAGAGCCAACUGACCAUGGACUGAAACCUCUGAAACUAUGAGCCAAAAUAAACUUUUCAUCCUUUAAGUUGAUUUUCUCAGGUAUUUUGUCACGAUAAUGACAGGCUGAUGAAUACAUAAACUUAUAGCAAGACUAUCAAAGAAACAAAGAGAAGACACAAAUUACCAGUAUUAGGAAUUAAAAGGCAUAUCGUUACAAACCCUGAGUACAUCAAAGGACUAAUAAGGAGAAUUAUGAAAAGUCUCUAUACACAAAUAUUACAACCUAGAUGAAAUGGACCAUUUCUCAAAAAAUACAAACUACCACAACUUACCUAAAAUAAAAGAGAUACUUUAAAUAGCUGAUCAAGGGAAUGAUCAAGGGAAUUAAUGAUCAAGGGAAUUAAGUUUCUUAAUUUAAAAAUUCCCCUGAAAGAAAGCUCCAGGACUGUAUGGCUUUGUCGGUGAGUCUUCUAAAAAUUUAAGUAAGGAUUAAUACCAAUUCUACACAGUCUCAUCCAGAAAAUAGAAGAGGAGGAAACUCAUAAUUUUAUGAAACUAGUAUUACCAGGAUUAGACAGAAUAGCUGAAUAAAUCAGUAUUAAAGUGAUCAGAGUUCAGAGAAGAUAAAAAUAAUAAGAUUAAAAAAAGAUUAAAAAAAUAAGAAAAGCAAAUCAAAGACCAGUAUCUAUCUUGGGUACAGAUAUAAGAAAUCUUUAAGAAAAUAUUAGCAAAUACAAAUCAGCAAUUUAUAAAAAGAAUAAUAUACCACGAUGAACUGUUUUAUUCAAGAGAUGCAAAGUUCCUUCAAUAUUAACAAAUCACUUAACCUAUAUGAACCUAUAUUAAAGAAAAGCCCUGCAUAUCAUAUUGACAUGGAAAGAACAUUUGACAAAAUUCAGCAUAUAUUCAUGACAAAAACUCAGAAAAAUAAAAAUGGGAAUUUCCUGAACUUGAUAAAAGAC
rnacentral:lncRNA from 1 species